rnacentral:rRNA from 1 species
CCUACGGGUGGCAGCAGUGAGGAAUAUUGGUCAAUGGACGGAAGUCUGAACCAGCCAUGCCGCGUGCAGGAUGACGGCUCUAUGAGUUGUAAACUGCUUUUGUAUUAGGGUAAACACCCCUACGUGUAGGGUCUUGACAGUAUAAUACGAAUAAGGAUCGGCUAACUCCGUGCCAGCAGCCGCGGUAAGACGGAAGGCCCGAGCGUUAUCCGAAUUCAUUCGGCUUAACGGGAGCGUAGGCGGGCGGUCAAGUCAGCUGGAAAAUCGGGCGGUUAAACCGCGCCCCGCAGUUGAAACUGGACGUCUUGAGUUCACAACAGGCAGGCGGAAUUCGUGGUGUAGCGGUGAAAUGCAUAGAGAUCAAGAGGAACCCCGAUUGCGAAGGCAGCCUGCCGGGGUGCGACUGACGCUGAGGCUCGAAGGUGCGGGUAGCAAACAGGAUUAGAUACCCGAGUAGUC